GAACUUAAGCAUAUCAAUAAGCGGAGGAAAAGAAACUAACAAGGAUUCCCCUAGUAACUGCGAGUGAAGCGGGAAAAGCUCAAAUUUAAAAUCUGGCGUGCCUCUGGUCGUCCGAGUUGUAGUUUAGAGAAGCGUUUUCUGUGUUGGACCGUGUAUAAGUCUCUUGGAACAGGGCGUCGUAGAGGGUGAGAAUCCCGUCUUUGACACGGACUACCAAUGCUUUGUGAUACGCUCUCAAAGAGUCGAGUUGUUUGGGAAUGCAGCUCAAAAUGGGUGGUAAAUUCCAUCUAAAGCUAAAUAUAGGCGAGAGACCGAUAGCGAACAAGUACCGUGAGGGAAAGAUGAAAAGCACUUUGGAAAGAGAGUUAAACAGUACGUGAAAUUGCUGAAAGGGAAACGCUUGAAGUCAGUCACGUCUGCCAGGACUCAGCCUUGCUUCUGCUUGGUGUACUUUCUGGUUGGAUGGGCCAACAUCGAUUUCGACCGUUGGAGAAAGGCUUUGGGAAUGUGGCACCUUCGGGUGUGUUAUAGCCCUUUGUCGUAUACAAUGGUUGGGAUCGAGGACUGCAGCAUGCCUUCAUGGCCGGGGUUCGCCCACGUACAUGCUUAGGAUGUUGGCAUAAUGGCUUUAAGCGACCCGUCUUGAAACACGGACCAAGGAGUCUAACAUGCCUGCGAGUGUUUGGGUGGAAAACCCAUGCGCGUAAUGAAAGUGAUAGCUGAGAUCCUCUCAUCAGGAGCAUCAGCGCCUGGACUUGAUCUACGGAGACGGUUCUACGGUAGAGCAUGUAUGUUGGGACCCGAAA
rnacentral:rRNA from 1 species